ensembl:lncRNA
GAGUCUUGAAGUUACAACGAUCCAUUCGAGUUCUGUGAUCCUUAUUGUUCUUAAUUGUGUUUCUCUAUGUAUUGUUACAGAUGAGCCAUACGUUUCUUUGUAUCAAUGUAGACAUUACUUCAGAUACCUCUGAGGACCUACCCAGCAGUCUAGGACCCUGGGCCAAGUGCUGGGACUAUGGUACUAAAUCCAGUAGAUGGGCUGUGUAGUAACUCUCCCAGGGAACACACUAGGUUACUUAGGGAAGUGCUUUGUGGAGCAUGUUGAAGCUUUGAGAUCUGAGCAGGAGGCAGUGAUGUCCCUGGUCUAUUCAGGGAAAGAUUUCAGUGUGAAAUGGUAAACAUCCAAUUGACAGGAUUUAGAUUUUGCUUAGUUUUUCUGCUUUUUAAUGUUUCUAUCCCCCAUCUCAGUGUUUUCUUUAUCCAUUCUAGUGAUGCCUUAUUUGAAACUGGGCUUAAACUGCAAAAAGAAUGAAGUUGGAUUUAGGAAGCUGUUAGAUCAUUGAGUGGUGUUGAGAGUGAAGUUUCACUAGCAGUGAAGUUUCCUUGAGCCUAAAAUAAAAAAAAAAAUUAAAAAGAAUCAGUUUUUUUAAUUAAAAAUAUAGAAAGCUGUUAGGCUCCUAAUUUGUGGGGUUUUUUUUGUAAAAACAGUUUAGAUAAUCCUGAAUGGAAUCAUUAACUUGGUUGCUAAUUACAAGAAUGAAAAUUAUAAUGGAAAAGGACAAAAAAAGGUUUGUUAUUAUAGUCCAUGUAUUAAAAUACUAUUGAAAUACGUUAAAGGUAAAUUUUUAAGGUUUAAAAAAAUUUAGUAACUUACAGGGAUGGAGAAUUUAGAUGUCAGAGGUGGGGAGAUUUAUUUUUAUAAGGUAAUUUUUAUCCUGAUAAGGACUUUAAAAAAAAGUUUUGCAACUGAAAUUUUAAAGUAAACAUGUUAAGUACAGUUAAAAAGUAAAAUAAGAAUUAUAGUAAAUAGUGGAUUCUCUGGUGUGUAUUUUUUAUCUUAGUGUUGUAAAAUUGGAAAAGAAUGGACUGAAGUCUAAAAACUGGAAUAAUGAAGGACACUAAAUGCCUUUAUUGUAGAUACUAUGUUUGUAAGUCUAUAGAUAAGCAACUUAAGCCAAAAAGGUCUUUCAACUGAAGCUUUAAUCAACUUAUUUUGGAGACAUUCUCUUCCCUUAUCUCAUGCGCCAUCCCUAAAAUAAUAAGAUACAUGGGAUCAAACAGCCCUUUCCUUUUCAACACAAAUCAGUUGGAAAAAUUAUGGUUUGAGUCCUGUUGCUGCCAUGGCUUCUGUUUCUCAGAAAUGAGUGUGUAUGAACAUACCAAUCUAUGUAAUAGGCUACCUUUUUUUGUCUUCUUUGGAACUUUGUACACAAACCAAGACAAUAUCAGGGUGACAGGUGAAUGAACUUAAAUUCUCAGUCUUGUCUAUUCACCAAAAAGUAUACUGCCUGUUUUUUCUUUAGUUAUUCAAGGUUAAUGACUUUUAGGAACAUGUUUUAUACUGUAUUUUUUAAUUAAAGCAAGUGCCUUGAUGUAAUUCCAUGUAAAUCAUUGCUUAACCCUCUUAUGGGAUGAGGAUGAGUUAUUAAUGUAUUGCAGCCUACUGGAAAGGAGGGGGAGUUGGUUAAUAGCAGAUACUUUUCUUCUAGAAGCUUAUGUUUUAUGCUGUUUAUUAUGUAAGAUCCUGUAUGUGUGUUGAGAUUUAGAGGUUUCAUUUAUUUUGUCUGCUAAUAAAUUGUUACUCUAAU